UACGGGGGGGGGCUAGCGUUAUUCGGAUUGAAUGGGCGUAAAGGAUGCGUAGGCAAUGCGAGCAAUUUAAAUUGAAAGUCCACCCUAAGGUGGAAUGGUCGUUUGAUGAGCGCUCGUGAGUGAGUUCAAUGGGGGUUAGGGGAAUUUUUGGUGGAGUGGUCUAAUACUUCGAUACCAAAAGGAAUACCAUUUGGCAAAGGCACCUUUCCAGGUUGGACUGGCGUUGAGGCAUGAAGGUGUGGGGAGCAAACGGG
rnacentral:rRNA from 1 species